GAGUUUGAUCCUGGCUCAGAUUGAACGCUGGCGGCAGGCCUAACACAUGCAAGUCGAGCGGUAGAGAGAAGCUUGCUUCUCUUGAGAGCGGCGGACGGGUGAGUAAUGCCUAGGAAUCUGCCUGGUAGUGGGGGAUAACGCUCGGAAACGGACGCUAAUACCGCAUACGUCCUACGGGAGAAAGCAGGGGACCUUCGGGCCUUGCGCUAUCAGAUGAGCCUAGGUCGGAUUAGCUAGUUGGUGAGGUAACGGCUCACCAAGGCGACGAUCCGUAACUGGUCUGAGAGGAUGAUCAGUCACACUGGAACUGAGACACGGUCCAGACUCCUACGGGAGGCAGCAGUGGGGAAUAUUGGACAAUGGACGAAAGCCUGAUCCAGCCAUGCCGCGUGUGUGAAGAAGGUCUUCGGAUUGUAAAGCACUUUAAGUUGGGAGGAAGGGCAGUAAAUUAAUACUUUGCUGUUUUGACGUUACGACAGAAUAAGCACCGGCUAACUCUGUGCCAGCCGCCGCCG
rnacentral:rRNA from 1 species